AAUCAUUCUCCUAGGGAAGAGAUGGAAGCAGAAUGCACUAUAGGAACUUCUUCAUAUAGUGCAUUCUGCUUCCAUCUCUUCCCCAGGCCAGU